rnacentral:rRNA from 1 species
UACGGGGGGUGCGAGCGUUGUCCGGAAUCACUGGGCGUAAAGGGCGCGUAGGUGGCCUUCUAAGUUGAACGUGAAAUCCCUGGGCUCAACCCAGGAACUGCGUCCAAGACUGGGAGGCUUGAAUCCGGGAGAGGGAUGCGGAAUUCCAGGUGUAGCGGUGAAAUGCGUAGAUAUCUGGAGGAACACCGGUGGCGAAGGCGGCAUCCUGGACCGGUAUUGACACUGAGGCGCGAAAGCCAGGGGAGCAAACGGG